rnacentral:rRNA from 1 species
GACAGAGGCCACGAACGUUGUUCGGAAUCACUGGGCAUAAAGCGCACGUAGGCGGCUAGGUCCGUCGGAUGUGAAAGCCCCCCGGCUCAACCGGGGAAUAGCAUCCGAUACAGCCUGGCUUGAGGACGGUUGGGGGUGAGUGGAACUCCUGGUGGAGCGGUGAAAUGCGUAGAUAUCAGGAGGAACACCGGUGGCCGAAAAGCGGCUCACUGGACCGUUACUGACGCUGGAGGGUGCGAAAAGCUAGGGGGAGCAAAACGGGG